UUUUAUGGAGAGUUUGAUCCUGGCUCAGGACGAACGCUGGCGGCGUGCCUAAUACAUGCAAGUCGAGCGAAUGGAUGGGAGCUUGCUCCCUGAAAUUAGCGGCGGACGGGUGAGUAACACGUGGGCAACCUGCCCUGUAGACUGGGAUAACUUCGGGAAACCGAAGCUAAUACCGGAUAAUCUUUGGAGCCUCAUGGUUCCGAAGUAAAAGUUGGGUUUUACCUAACACUACAGGAUGGGCCCGCGUCGCAUUAGCUAGUUGGUAAGGUAACGGCUUACCAAGGCGACGAUGCGUAGCCGACCUGAGAGGGUGAUCGGCCACACUGGGACUGAGACACGGCCCA
rnacentral:rRNA from 1 species